rnacentral:rRNA from 1 species
UGGGGGAAUUUUGGACAAUGGGCGAAAGCCUGAUCCAGCAAUGCCGCGUGUGUGAAGAAGGCCUUCGGGUUGUAAAGCACUUUUGUCCGGAAAGAAAUCCUUGGCUCUAAUACAGUCGGGGGAUGACGGUACCGGAAGAAUAAGCACCGGCUAACUACGUGCCAGCAGCCGCGGUAAUACGUAGGGUGCAAGCGUUAAUCGGAAUUACUGGGCGUAAAGCGUGCGCAGGCGGUUUGCUAAGACCGAUGUGAAAUCCCCGGGCUCAACCUGGGAACUGCAUUGGUGACUGGCAGGCUAGAGUAUGGCAGAGGGGGGUAGAAUUCCACGUGUAGCAGUGAAAUGCGUAGAGAUGUGGAGGAAUACCGAUGGCGAAGGCAGCCCCCUGGGCCAAUACUGACGCUCAUGCACGAAAGCGUGGGGGAGCAAACAGGAUUAGAUACCCUGGGUAGUCCACGCCCUAAACGAUGUCAACUAGUUGUUGGGGAUUCAUUUCCUUAGUAACGUAGCUAACGCGUGAAGUUGACCGCCUGGGGGAGUACGGUCGCAAGAUUAAAACUUAAAUGAAUUGACGGGGUCAUAGCUGUUUCCU